AAAGAAAAUAGUUCAGCACUAAGUCACUUUGUCUUUAUGGCAAAUGUGAGAUGCAGUGUAUGGAACAUCAAUAUUCUAGUAUGAGAAAUUAAUGAUUUAAGUCCUUCUUAAAUGAGGCCAUUUACCCAUAGAGGGUGCCAGGCCCGUAUAACGUUAAUGAUUACUAGAUGGUGUUUCCAAAGAGUCGUGUUGCUUGAUAGUGCAGCACUAAGUGGGUGGUAAACUCCAUCUAAAACUAAAUAUAACCAUGAGACCGAUAGUAAACAAGUACCGUGAGGGAAAGUUGAAAAGAACUCUGAAUAGAGAGUUAAAUAGUACGUGAAACUGCUUAGAGGUUAAGCCCGAUGAACCUGAAUAUCCGUUAUGGAAAAUUCAUCAUUAUAAUUGUAAUAUUUAAAUAAUAUUAUAAUAAUAGUGUGCAUUUUUUCCAUAUAAGGACAUUGUAAUCUAUUAACAUAAACCAAAUUUAUCAUAAAAUAUGACUUAUAGUUUAUUUAAAUUAUUUUGCUUGCAAUUUAACAUAAAAUAAAUGUCAUUAAUUUGAUAAAGUGUUGAUAGAUUUAUAUGAAUACAGUGCGUUAAUUUUUUUAAAAUUAUAUAAUAGCAUGAUUAUCAUUGAUUUUCUAUGUUUAUUAUAUGCACUUGUAUGAUUAA
rnacentral:rRNA from 1 species